GAUGAACGCUGGCGGCGUGCCUAAUACAUGCAAGUCGAGCGAACAGACGAGGAGCUUGCUCCUCUGACGUUAGCGGCGGACGGGUGAGUAACACGUGGAUAACCUACCUAUAAGACUGGGAUAACUUCGGGAAACCGGAGCUAAUACCGGAUAAUAUAUUGAACCGCAUGGUUCAAUAGUGAAAGACGGUUUUGCUGUCACUUAUAGAUGGAUCCGCGCCGCAUUAGCUAGUUGGUAAGGUAACGGCUUACCAAGGCAACGAUGCGUAGCCGACCUGAGAGGGUGAUCGGCCACACUGGAACUGAGACACGGUCCAGACUCCUACGGGAGGCAGCAGUAGGGAAUCUUCCGCAAUGGGCGAAAGCCUGACGGAGCAACGCCGCGUGAGUGAUGAAGGUCUUCGGAUCGUAAAACUAUGUUAUUAGGGAAGAACAAAUGUGUAAGUAACUAUGCACGUCUUGACGGUACCUAAUCAGAAAGCCACGGCUAACUACGUG
rnacentral:rRNA from 1 species